UACGAAGGGGGCUAGCGUUGUUCGGAAUCACUGGGCGUAAAGCGCACGUAGGCGGAUCUUUAAGUCAGAGGUGAAAUCCCAAGGCUCAACCUUGGAACUGCCUUUGAUACUGGGGAUCUUGAGUCCGGGAGAGGUGAGUGGAACUGCGAGUGUAGAGGUGAAAUUCGUAGAUAUUCGCAAGAACACCAGUGGCGAAGGCGGCUCACUGGCCCGGUACUGACGCUGAGG
rnacentral:rRNA from 1 species